GACGAACGCUGGCGGCGUGCUUAACACAUGCAAGUCGAACGGAAAGGCCCUGCUUUUGUGGGGUGCUCGAGUGGCGAACGGGUGAGUAACACGUGAGUAACCUGCCCUUGACUUUGGGAUAACUUCAGGAAACUGGGGCUAAUACCGGAUAGGAGCUCCUGCUGCAUGGUGGGGGUUGGAAAGUUUCGGCGGUUGGGGAUGGACUCGCGGCUUAUCAGCUUGUUGGUGGGGUAGUGGCUUACCAAGGCUUUGACGGGUAGCCGGCCUGAGAGGGUGACCGGCGACAUUAGGACUGAGAUACGGACCAGACUCCUACGGGAGGCAGCAGUGGGGAGUAUUGCACAACGGGCGGGAGUCUGAUGCAGCAACGCCGCGUGCGGGAUGACGGCCUUCGGGUUGUAAACCGCUUUCGCCUGUGACGAAGCGGGAGUGACGGUAAUGAGUAAAGAAGCACCGGCUAACUACGUG
rnacentral:rRNA from 1 species